GCUGACGACCGGCGCACGGGUGCGUAACGCGUAUACAAUCUGCCUUGUACUGAGGAAUAGCCCAGAGAAAUUUGGAUUAAUGCCUCAUAGUAUAUGUUUAUCACCUGAUUUACAUAUUAAAGGUUACGGUACAAGAUGAGUAUGCGUCCUAUUAGCUAGAUGGUGUGGUAACGGCACACCAUGGCUACGAUAGGUAGGGGCCCUGAGAGGGGGAUCCCCCACACUGGUACUGAGACACGGACCAGACUCCUACGGGAGGCAGCAGUGAGGAAUAUUGGACAAUGGAGGCAACUCUGAUCCAGCCAUGCCGCGUGCAGGAUGACUGCCCUAUGGGUUGUAAACUGCUUUUAUACGGGAAGAAACCCUGCUACGNGUAGCAGCUUGACGGUACCGUAAGAAUAAGGAUCGGCUAACUCCGUGCCAGCAGCCGCGGUAAUACGGAGGAUCCAAGCGUUAUCCGGAAUCAUUGGGUUUAAAGGGUCCGUAGGUGGAUAGUUAAGUCAGGGGUGAAAGUUUGCAGCUCAACUGUAAAAUUGCCUUUGAUACUGGUUAUCUUGAAUUAUUAUGAAGUGGUUAGAAUAUGUAGUGUAGCGGUGAAAUGCAUAGAUAUUACAUAGAAUACCAAUUGCGAAGGCAGAUCACUAAUAAUAUAUUGACACUGAUGGACGAAAGCGUGGGUAGCGAACAGGAUUAGAUACCCUGGUAGUCCACGCCGUAAACGAUGGAUACUAGCUGUUCGAA
rnacentral:rRNA from 1 species